rnacentral:tmRNA from 1 species
GGGGAUGACUGGAUUUGACAGCAAGGAAGCGUUAAUAGUAAGCAUGUCGGGCAAUGAGAAUGUGGCUCGUCAUCAACUUUUCUCAAGCCAUAACUGGCAACAAUUCAUCUUACGCUCUCGCAGCAUAAUCGAAGAUUAGUAGAUUCAUGCUAAAUCCUGCCACAAGGUGGCGGGACGGGACAUCCCGCAGGCGGACAAGCCUUGUUCCUGCCUGAUCACGGGGUGAAGCAAAACAGGGCUAGUUGAUCUCCUGCUCCGGGAGAUUGGCGAAAUAACAGGAGCUAAGGUAGCGAUAGACCGUUCUUCGCCGGUCGUUACACAAAAAUCAAUGAAGAACUAAACAUGUAGAAAGCAUUAGUGCUGCUUGUUUGGACCCGGGUUCGACUCCCGGCAUCUCCACAA